CUUAGCCCUGCGCAGCCGGACCCAGCAAGAUCUGGCUCAGCCCUGCCAGGCCGCACUUAAAAAUCACAGAAUCGAUUAGGAACAGAAGUGGAAACUCAGAGAGAAACCUGUGGACUGCUAGUAAAUGAGAUGGAGGCAAGAGCUGAUCAAAGCUUUGAGAUCUCCUCAGGGAGAAGCAGUGUGUCCUUCAGAGGUGAUACAGAAUUUGCAGCUUUGUGGAGCAAUAUUACAAUAAUAUUCCUGUCACUGCUAGAGGUUUGGCCAUAACACCAGAUAAUGUGUAGGAGUGCAAGCCUGCUGCCCUCCCUUUGGAAGACUGUGGGUGCUCUUUUGGGCGGCAGUGCUGUCUAUCCCCCCCACCCCAUUCCUACCCAUUCCUUUUCAAAGCCCGGUUUGUCACCCCCUUGGCUGUGCUAAUGCAUCCCCCACUGAGGAGUGACACUGCUGGAUCUGCUAAAUGGUCCCAGCUAAUAAUACCCCCCAAUACCUCUUUCUUUUGGAAAGUUAUUCAAGGAUCCAGCUUGCAGAAUGGCAUGAUAAACAUCUUGGCAAAGCUGAGCUGGCAGCAAAAGGAAGUGUCAGGACAGGAGUAGAGUGGUUGGGGGCAAGGAAAUGGUAGGAACGUCUUCAGCUGCUGUACAAUAAAAGACCAGAUGUAAUGAUUUGACACAGUUCCACCCAUCCUAUGUCUUUUUUUCCCCCCCAAAGGAUGCUGAGAUUGCACAGACCUCUAACAUCCUCAAAAUCUUUCAUGCCAAAAAUUUCUGUGAUUAGCAGGAACAUUGAUAUGCCUGAAGUGGGGAGCAUGGCAUUUAGCAGUGGCUUACUACAGAAGCAGAAUAUGGGGAGAGUUAUAGCCCCGUGAAAAACCCAGGGCACAAUCAUGUAAUUAAAAGGCCAUUAUAAUGGUUGUACCUCUGAGGUGGACUGGGUAUUAAUCACUGUCUGAUUAAUACUUGAGAGCUUGUCUGUGUGAUCUGGAUGUAGUUUUAUGUGCUUAUGUUGUGUGUGCACAUAUUUACCCCAAUGGUGAGAAGCAAAUGUGUCUGAGGCUUGGAAGCUGAAGUUUUACUUGAUCUAGCUUCUUGAGUCAUUUCCUGUGGAUUUGCAAGAUCUCUUAUUUGAUCUCUGCUUUCACUGUCCUGCCAAUUUGCAAGCUGCUAAGUGAUUUAUUCUCUUAAUGGUUUCUCUCACUCACUGCACAACCCUCUUACUAUUGCUUUCACUGAAGUAUUGAAUUUUAUUUUUCUAAUAUUCAGGUUGCUGUGCCGGUUCUUGUAAGCCUGUUGGAGCUGACUGACUUUUCUGAAUGAAAAGGCUCUCUCUCAGAGGUGUGAUUUCUGUUUGUGCAUUGUGUUGUUUGUACACAGAGCUUCUGCUCAAACACAGAGUAGCGCUUCCCCGCGAUGCGAUCGUUAAGGUACCUAGAAUUAAUUAGCCUUUGGUGGCACAGCUUCAAGGCAGCAGCUCCUGCAUACUAACGAUUUGCCUGCUAUGACUGUCCUGUGUUUUAUAUUCAAAAGAAACAUUUCUUUUGCAGAGUAAUACUUCAGCUGUUGCAGAGAACCUUGUUUCUGCUCAGAUUGGAAUAAACUUCCCUGAGUGCUGUUACACCUUUAGCUAGCACUUAUUUAGGGUGAGAACCACUGGAAUUUGAAGUGUCAAAGUUUAGGAUGGCAUUUACUGCAAGCUUGCAAUGUAGCCUCCUGCCUUCACUUACUCUUGCUUGUAAAGCCUUUCAGCUUUUGAGCUGAAAUCUUCCGCACUGUUGAUUUACGAACCUAAUUAUGAAUGUUGGUACCCUGUUGACUGUGCUGAAUUCAAUGAUUUUUCCACUGACUCACUUGGUGACUUUGAAUGAGUGAGGAGUGGAAGUCAGCAGUCCUGAAUCAUGCCAUCCUCCAGACAAUUACCCCCCUCCCCAAUAAUUCUUUUGAGCAGCAAUCAUAUUUUAAAAGCAACGAUUGCAUCUGUAUUUUCCCCCAUCAUAAUUGCUCAGAAUUUAAGAGCUACGAAAAAAAUCUGCAACAUUUCAAGUCAGUGUAAAGUCUUUCAGGAUUGACACUUUUUGGGAGGUCACAGUUGGGAAAUACAGGGGUUUUUUUUCCAGCAGGAGUGGGAUUUUAGCAUGUGGUUUGGAGAAUUGUUGGGAUCCUUUUUGAGCACCUGACAGGGGCAGAGGAUGUGGAGAGCUCCUUGCAGUCUUCCCAGGAUGUCCUUUUGGAGGCUGGUAAAACCAGAGCAGGCAAGCAGAACAGACCCUUGCUGCCAGAUGAGCAGACUAUUCCACUUCUCAAUUUUUCGGGCUUUGUAAACCUGCAUUUUACCAGGACAGAAAGUUGAGGCGAUCUCUGCGCUGCUGCCUGUGUGGCUCUUCUGGACACCAUGGGAUCAACUUGGGCAACAGCAGCAAAUGUGCUGAGGGCUGGGAAGGCAUUGACCAGUGCAUGGAGUCAGGCACGAGUCAUGCCUAUGGGACAAAUCUGGUGUCAUUCGUAGCUGUGUUCCUCAAACCUCGUGCUCUCUUUCAUCCUCUCCCAAAAUAAAAGCAAAGUUUAUUGAAAUGGGGAGAUGGUGAGGAAAAGCAGUAUUUUCAAACCCUUGCUUUCCUACUGGGCACUCUGUUGCCCUCUUAAUAUUCAGCAGUAUGUGAUUUAUAGCCCCCCUGACAUGGUGGUUUGGUGUUUCCUUUGUGUGCAUAACUUCCUUUUGAUAUAAAGGGAUGAUAACAAACCUAAAUUGUAGUCUCACAAGCACAUGACACUUUGUGGUGCAGAUAGCAGGAAAAUGCUCUAAUCUUGAGUUCAACACCUCAGCCUACCCACCCCCAAAUUCCACCCUGGUGAGAGGGUGGCAUCAGCAGGUUUAGUGAGACAGCAGUGUUGGUGGGGGUGAUUCUUUCACACACAAUAGUGCAGGAUGAUGGUUUUGGGAGUGCCACUGGAGUCAAGUCCCUGGCAUGGACUCGACAAGAGACGGGUGCACAGCUGCUUCUUGAACUUUUUUGCGUACCUUUUUGUGCUGAAUGCUUGGAAGGAAAAACUGCUACAAAACCUUCACUUUCUGCUGCUUGUUCUGCAGUGGUGCUCCUGCGUGUUCCCGACUCAGCAUGCCCUGGCCCAUCAAACUGAAAAAUAAGUGUGCAGAAACUUUGCAAGUGUCACCACAACCUCAGGAUUAGUCCUGAAGCCAGGUUACUCUCAGCAUGAGGGAAGGGCUGCUCUUCUCUUGAGAUGCCUUUCUACCCUUGAGAGGUUUCUGAAUUUUUGAUACAGCUGUUUCCAGGGCCUCAUGAGAACUGAACAAAUAGAUGCCAAAUAAAGUUUUACUUCACAGAGCACAAAAGUGGAUGGAUCUCGGAAAAACACUGGACUUGUUCACACCUUUGUCUCCCUUCCUUGGGGGUCAUUUGAAUCAGGUUUGAACCUUUUAAGUGUAUUUCAGAAAGCUGCCUUCUGAUAGCCAAACUUCACUUGGGUGUUCCUCCCUUUCUCUCACAGCUAUUGUGAGACCAUCUCCUCUGAACACUCAUAUUCCCUUUAUUGCAAAGCUCUUUGAUCAGCCUCAGCAGGUGACAUGAUGAACAGUUGACUGACUACUUUGGCAAAACCAGUUUUUGUGGCUUGACCUCCUUUUCACACACAGUGUCUUGCUGUGAGUACAGGGUCCUAUUCAGCGUCUGAGUGGUUAUAAUUGCUGGUUUACCCAGUCUAGACCUGGUUGUGGGAGAAACCCCCACACAGGUAUCAAUCAGGAAAAGCUUCUGGAGUUAAAUUAAGCGUUUGAAAUAUGGAAAUGCUGACAUGGCUGGGUCAGAUGUUUGAUGGUACACAGGGGAAUGAGUUGUAUAUACCCUGUCUGAAUCUUCAUUUACUCAGCCCUUGGCUUCAGGGCUGCUCAGUGACACUGACCCCCACCGUCCUUUGCAGAUGCUUGGCCAUAUUUAAUUUCAAAGGGUGCCAGUCCACCCUCUUCUCCAGGCAGAUAUUUUCCCUUGUGUCAACAUCCUCAUAACAAUUCCAGCUAGGCAAAUAUAGCACAUGCCUUAUGAGUGUCCUGUAAGGACUCAGAGGUGGAGAGUUAGAGCUAAAGAAGUCUCAUGGUUAACCCCAUGCGCCACCAAAUAGCUUUGGGAUAAGUCACAGCACAUGAUGAGGAAACUGGGAGGAGAGUUUAAUGGUCCUGCAGAGAACACCUCCUUAGACAGCCACCCUCCAAGAUGUUCCCAAGGAUUCCCACAGAAAAUAAUCCUGUGCUCCUUUUAUGUUCUGGUAAUCACACACAUCCUAUGCCUCCCUGCCAGUUCUAAGGAGAAAAGUGAUUAGUCACUCCACACAAAAACCUUUGGGAACUGCACAUAUUCUCCACUAUGGAUGCCAGCUCCAUCUAGAAGGGAAUGAAGACUCACGGCUCUGCUCUGUGUGGUUGUCAACAGAAGCUGCUAUUUGCAGGUACUGGAUGCAAGGCCUUCCAGGUGCCCAUUCCAGCUGUGUCCCCAGCAGUGUUUGCUGCCAGACUUAACAAAGACCAGAAAUGCAAGCCCAGCUUAUGAGAGCUUCACACCUACAAGACCAAAAGCACAAGCUUGAUCCUGCUCACAGAGCUCCCUUGUUCAAGACAGUAGACUCUCCGGUCUCUUAGAGAAAAAAAGAAGGGUUGGUUAUUGCUGGAUGCCUGUUCUGACCUUAAAAGCUGAAAGUAAAAACAAUCCAAGAUAUGGGGCAUGCUGAAGUGGCAGCUGAAGGGCUUUUUUUGUUCCUUCUGCAGUUAAUGCUGUCGUGCUAAAAUUGCACGCGGGUGGGAGUGGGGGUUAAUUUAAGGUUUAGUGUGACCAAGAAGAAUUAUUUAGAAAAUAGCAAAUGGACAGCAUUCUGAAAAAUGAGCUUCACUUCCCUAACCAGGAGUACUUGACUUAAGUUGAAGAGACUAUGAAGGAAACCUCCAUAUCCAUGGCAGGUAAACAUUUGCCUUUGAUUCUGUUUUUCUCUUCAAGUCUAGAAACCCCAGCAUUUACACUUAAAUGGAUGUGCUGUAAGCUAUGUUUAGGAAGAGAAUUUCAUCCCCUCCUGCACGUACUUUUACACAUGAUAAUUGUUUGACUGUAGCUUUACAAAGUAUGGCUGGAGGGAUGGUUUUAAAGGGAGGAGUUACAUAGCACUGAUGAUAACUGCCUGAUUCAGCCCUACUGAAGGCAGUGGCAGCAGGAUCAGACAAUCCAGAAGAGAUUAUUUUGUUUUAAAUAGCCAUUAUGGACCUUCAGUGACUUAUGAUAAAUUCCUGCCUUCUGAUUUCAUGCACCAGAGAACACACAUGUGUGCUGGAACAUGCAUGUCUUCAGAGUCAUGUAUUCAGUGUGGACAUGAAUCUCUGCAUUUUGUCACCAUUUAAAAAAA